AAAGAUGUGAAGUUGUGCUCCUGUUUCCACCUUGUGCCUCCAGCCCGGAGCAGGGUGAAGGGCCUCUCCCACAGCCCGGGCUCAAGGAGCCGGGCAUCCCGGCACCCGACCCGGGAGCCCUGGAAGGCCCGGCGGCCAGAUCUCUGCUUCGAUGCCGAGACCUCGGUCAACGUCUCCCCCGGGAACUGCAGCUUCUUGGGCUGGCAGUGCUAAGAGUAACUGGGGCUCUGAGCCUGCCCGCCUGGAUUGCUUGCUCGCGUUCUCCCGCCCUCCUUCCCGCGGCUCCUUCCCCCACGCUCUCCCCCUUCCCCUUUCCCCUGACUGCUUUUCCAAUGCCCUGACAUGAGGGAGGAAGAUUUAACUUGGCAGCCCAAACAAAUGUUCUCUCUGAGAUCUCCAAGAAGCUGGCUGGCGGCUGGGCUGGCGGGGUGAGUGCACCGCUCGGCCAGCCUUUCCCUCCUCUCUGCACUGCCAGGGACAUUUGGAGCCCCGUGGGUGGACAGCCCCGCGCAUGGACACUGGGGACCAACCCCCCGGAUUUGGAAGGGCGGUCUGUGAGCUGCGCCUGUGGAAGCCCCUGCCUUGGCGUUACAUAGAGAGCCAUUGGCUCCAGCUGCCUCCUGGUGCCAAUGGUUUUCUUAAGCAACAGUUUGCUUCUGCUGCAACCUGGGAACUGGGCCUGGUAGACCAGAGGGUUGACUAGUGCAGUCUCCUCCCUCCCUCGUGGGUGUGAGGACAGGCUGGUUACACAGGGCAGGGCAGGAGGCCAGAGGCUGGUCCCAGAGGUGCCUGGUUUUGCUUAUUAUUGUUUUUUUGAAGGUACAGAUAAAGGGAUGGUGGCUGGGGCUGGAGAAACAGGCGACUUGGUUGCUGGUGAAUUCCGGGGCCUGCCUCUCUAUGCUUGUGCGGUGACUGGAGUGUGGAAGAGUUAGUUGCCUGUGAGCUUUUGGGAAGUUUAGAUGAGGGCGCAAGCUCAUGGCCUUUCUUAUCCGGACUGGUUUUUUAAGAGGUCCAAAGAAGGGGGAAUUCCUGGCCCCAGAGCGAGGCAGAGGGCUUGUGAACACCCCGGAGCCUUGUGCUGACCUUUCCCUCUUCAAGAAGAGGAUGUGGAGACGCCAGCAUCAAACAAAAGGCACAUUGAAAGCCCUAUCUAUCUGCCUAGGAGCGUGUGCAGCGAGGAGUGCAGUUAGAGGGAGAUGGUGUUGUCCUCUGAGUUUUAUGGGUUUUGGUUGUUUUGUUUUUCUCCAAAGGACAGAAGCAUCACUGGCCCCAAGUCACACGGUUAGGAGACCUCAUCUUCUCAUACGAAUCAGAAGUUUAGUCUUGGGAACUUGGGAACUGGGGCUGGGGGAGGAGCUAUAGAGUUUUCAAGACUUGAGCUGCAGUUGUAAGACUUUCUGAGUACUGCUCACAGUCUCACAGAGGGGACUGGACUUAUUUUUAAAAAAAAGUUUAAAUAAAUAGCCUUGUCUGUGC
rnacentral:lncRNA from 1 species